UCUUCCCCUUUCUCUCUUUCCUUCUCCCCUUCUCCUUCUUCUCUCAAAAAGGGGGAGGAGGGAAAAGAAAGAGGGAGAAAUGUUGGGACAGAUGUCCAAAGUCCAUCUAAACGAGUGCGGAGAAUUGUAUCAUAGCGCAAAGAAUAUUUCAUUUCUCCUCUUUGUAUUAACUCAUUGCAAGUUUCAGUUAAAUUAAACA
rnacentral:ribozyme from 1 species